UAGGGAAUAUUGCACAAUGGGGGAAACCCUGAUGCAGCGACGCCGCGUGAGUGAUGAAGGCCUUCGGGUCGUAAAGCUCUGUUCUACGAGACGAAAAAAAUGACGGUAUCGUAGAAGAAAGGACCGGCUAACUUCGUGCCAGCAGCCGCGGUAAUACGAGGGGUCCUAGCGUUGUUCGGAAUCAUUGGGCGUAAAGCGUCUGUAGGCGGCUUUGUAAGUCAGGUGUGAAAGCCCCGGGCUCAACCCGGGAAGUGCAUUUGAUACUGCAUAGCUUGAAUGUUGGAGAGGAUAGUAGAAUUCCAGGUGUAGUGGUGAAAUACGUAGAUAUCUGGAGGAAUACCGGUGGCGAAGGCGGCUAUCUGGCCAAACAUUGACGCUGAGAGACGAAAGCAUGGGGAUCAAACA
rnacentral:rRNA from 1 species